rnacentral:misc_RNA from 1 species
GAAAUGCGAUAAGCAAUGUGAAUUGCAGAAUUCAGUGAAUCAUCGAAUCUUUGAACGCACAUUGCGCCCGCCAGUAUUCUGGCGGGCAUGCCUGUCCGAGCGUCAUUUCAACCAUCAAGCCCCCGGGCUUGUGUUGGGGACCUGCGGCUGCCCGCAGGCCCUGAAAACCAGUGGCGGGCUCGCUGUCACACCGAGCGUAGUAGCAAUCACCUCGCUCAGGGCGUGCUGCGGGUUCCGGCCGUUAAACAGCCUUACAAAACCCAAGGUUGACCUCGGAUCAGGUAGGAAGACCCGCUGAACUUAAGC